rnacentral:rRNA from 1 species
GAUGAACGCUGGCGGCGUGCCUAAUACAUGCAAGUCGAGCGAACAGAUGAGGAGCUUGCUCCUCUGACGUUAGCGGCGGACGGGUGAGUAACACGUGGAUAACCUACCUAUAAGACUGGGAUAACUUCGGGAAACCGGAGCUAAUACCGGAUAAUAUAUUGAACCGCAUGGUUCGAUAGUGAAAGACGGCUUUGCUGUCACUUAUAGAUGGAUCCGCGCCGCAUUAGCUAGUUGGUAAGGUAACGGCUUACCAAGGCAACGAUACGUAGCCGACCUGAGAGGGUGAUCGGCCACACUGGAACUGAGACACGGUCCAGACUCCUACGGGAGGCAGCAGUAGGGAAUCUUCCGCAAUGGGCGAAAGCCUGACGGAGCAACGCCGCGUGAGUGAUGAAGGUCUUCGGAUCGUAAAACUCUGUUAUUAGGGAAGAACAAACGUGUAAGUAACUAUGCACGUCUUGACGGUACCUAAUCAGAAAGCCACGGCUAACUACGUG